UACGGAGGGUGCAAGCGUUGCUCGGAAUUAUUGGGCGUAAAGGGUGCGUAGGCGGCGCGGUAAGUCGGGUGUGAAAUCUCGGAGCUUAACUCCGAAACUGCAUUCGAUACUGCCGUGCUUGAGGACUGGAGAGGAGACUGGAAUUUACGGUGUAGCGGUGAAAUGCGUAGAUAUCGUAAGGAAGACCAGUGGCGAAGGCGGGUCUCUGGACAGUUCCUGACGCUGAGGCACGAAGGUCAGGGGAGCAAACGGG
rnacentral:rRNA from 1 species